UAGAGUUUKAUCMUGGCUCAGGACGAACGCUGGCGGCAUGCCUAAUACAUGCAAGUCGAACGAGCUUUCCUGAUGAUUGAUGCUUGCAUCAUGAAUCAGAUCUAAGCGAGUGGCGGACGGGUGAGUAACACGUGGGUAACCUGCCCAGAAGUAGGGGAUAACAUUUGGAAACAAGUGCUAAUACCGUAUAACAACAUUAAACACAUGUUUUUUGUUUGAAAGAUGGCUCUGCUAUCUCUUCUGGAUGGACCCGCGGCGUAUUAGCUAGUUGGUGAGGUAAUAGCUCACCAAGGCAAUGAUACGUAGCCGACCUGAGAGGGUAAUCGGCCACAUUGGGACUGAGACACGGCCCAAACUCCUACGGGAGGCAGCAGUAGGGAAUCUUCCACAAUGGGCGAAAGCCUGAUGGAGCAAUGCCGCGUGAGUGAAGAAGGUUUUCGGAUCGUAAAACUCUGUUAUUGAAGAAGAACAUGCGUGAGAGUAACUGUUCACGUACUGACGGUAUUCAAUCAGAAAGCCACGGCUAACUACGUGCCAGCAGCCGCGGUAAUACGUAGGUGGCAAGCGUUGUCCGGAUUUAUUGGGCGUAAAGAGAAUGUAGGCGGUUUAUUAAGUUUGAAGUGAAAGCCCUCGGCUCAACCGAGGAAGUGCUUCGAAAACUGGUAAACUUGAGUGCAGAAGAGGAAAGUGGAACUCCAUGUGUAGCGGUGGAAUGCGUAGAUAUAUGGAAGAACACCAGUGGCGAAGGCGGCUUCKGUCUGUAACKACCSGCUGRGA
rnacentral:rRNA from 1 species